AAUAAGUAGGCUAUGCUCAGUGAAUAUUUUAACAGCCGCAGUAUUUUAACUGUGCUAAGGUAGCAUAAUAAUUUGUUCUAUAAUGGAGAACUAGAAGAAACGAGCUGUCAAUACCUGUGCUUUUUUACUUAAACCUAUAAAACUUUAUAUCUUCUUAAAAAAGAGAAGAUUUAUAGAAAGACGAUAAGACCCUAUAAAACUAAUAUCAGAAUUUUAUAAUAGAAAUUAAUUUAACCUGAUUAAGCUGGGGCGGCAACUAAAUCUUCUUUAGAAAAAUUAACACUAUUUCUGAAUAUUUAAAACUUAAUAAUAAAAAUUAAAACAAGUUACUUUAGGGAUAACAGCACAAUUUUCUCAUAAAGAUCCUAUUAAAGAGAAAGACUUGUGACCUCGAUGUUGAAUUGAGGAACCUGUUUUAAGCAAAAAUAAAUAAAGGAAGUCUGUUCGACUUUUAAAACCUC
rnacentral:rRNA from 1 species